UGGGAAAAUCAUGUAAUACAAAUCUUGAUUGUGGAUUUAUUCAAAAUUCCAUAUGUUCAAAAGAUAAAAUAUGCAUUUGUGAUGCAAAUACAUUUGCAUUAAAUCAGUCCUUGUGUGUACCAAUAUUAAACGGAUUUUGUUUGAGCAAUAAACAAUGUAAAUUCAAUGGUUUUCAUUGUGUUGAUAAUAAAUGUCAAUGCAAACCAAAUUUUUCACCAAUUUCUCCUAGUCAAUGUCUGGCAACGCAUCUUCUACACUCGUGUACAGAGUCUACCGACUGUUCUGAACCAUGGCAUGCUGCAUGCUCGGAUGAUGCUAAAUGUAUAUGUAGAUUAAAUAAUAUUGCAAUGAGCAGAUCAACAUGUCUACCACUUUUAGGUGGAUACUGCUGGAGAGAUGAUCAAUGUCAGGCUGAAAAUUCUAUAUGUGAUAAUUUUCGAUGCGCGUGUGACUCUAAUUUUGUUCGGGUUUCCAACAAUUUAUGCGUACCUGCUAAUUCCGAAAUGACUUCUAAAAACAAUAAUUUAUUCAAAUGAAGAUAUUUAGUUUAAUAUUCAAAAGCAAAGUCAAUAUUUAUGAGUAUGGGAGAACGGGACACGACGGAUCCCCUCAAAAAUUUUCUAGAAAAAUUUUUUUUUUAUAAUUAAAAAAAAAAAAAAAAAUUUUUUCAUAGCUUAGAUUUAUGAUUUUGAUGUAAUUUACGAAUUUUCUCGGCGAAAUAUUUGGGUUAAAAUGGAAUACUUUAGAAGUUUUAAUGAAUAAAUUUUUUUUAUUUGAGUCAAUCACAACAAUUAAAUCUAUUACACGCAUUACGCGAAAAAUAAAAGUUGUUUCACUGACGAUUCUUCCUCGUUGACAAUUUCACUCAUACACAAACAUUUCUACACCCUUUUCAUAGCACAAAAAAUAUAUUAAAUUGUGUACUCACAUGCAGAUAAUUUAUCAAGGAAUAAUUUAAACCCAACGUUGAGUCGAUUUGUUAUUUCAUUGAUUUUAAAUUAAUUAUUUUAAUCCAAGCAACUAGUGCUGUCAAUCGUUACGUAUUAAUCUUCGUAAGCACGAUAACUCUCGAAGGAAAUAACUAAUCGGUCUAUUUUUUUUUAUUGGCUAUGUAUUUUUUAUUUUUUUACAAAGUUUUGUCAUUAUCAUUUUCAGGAGAAGGUUCAUCAUGCCUCGAAAAAAAUUUUUUUCUUUAAUUAUGGCAAAAUUAUGAUGGAUUUGUUUCCGAAAGAUCAGAACAACUUGCGGAAGUUGCUCAAAAGCCACAAAAAAUAAUUAGCAGCUUAAAGGGCCGCUAUGUCCUGGUCUCCCCUAUGUAAAUUAUUAAAAUAUAAUUUUGACUUAAAAAUGGUGUGUUUUAUAACCUUCCCACAAGAAAAUUGUAAAUGUAAAAUGUCAUUAAGGGGUUAGGGGUACUCAGAGGCCUGAAAAAAUGAUGAUUUUCAAUAAUUUUUUUUUUGUAGUUAAUUACUUUAUUUGACAAAAAUAAAAACAUAGCUUUAUUAGAACACGUUUCGAUUUGACUUCACGAAAAUUUCAAAAAAAAAAAUUAAUAAUUCAAAAAGUUAUCGCUGUUUUUGUAGAGCCCGUUCCUCCCGAAGUCCUUUGCGGUGAUCAUCAUAAGUCCUUGGAGAUUCAUCUAAAAUCAAUCGGACAAGAAAAAUUAGUUUUAUUAAUAGAUAAUCUUGUGCCUGAUCGAAGCUUUUUUUUUUUUUUCGAAAUUAACAAAAUGGCGGCCUCAGGAAAUUUUUUUCAAAUUUUCGAGAAAAAAACCGACAGUUUAUUGUUAAAAAAAAAUCGAAAUUUUUGAAAAAAAAAAAAAUCCUUCGAUCAGGCACGAGUUUUUAAUGUAUUUCAAAAGUACAAUAAAUUUUAUUGAAAUCUACCGAGCAGUUUUUAAGUUACAGUGAUCACCAGUUCAGAAAACAUAGUUUUGAGAAAAACGCAUUUAAAGUUUUGCUAUGGAUUUAUGUCGAAUUAUAAGAAUUAUUUAAUAA